rnacentral:rRNA from 1 species
UGCGGAGGGAUCAUUACACAACAAAAUAUGAAGGCCUGGCUUUCGCGGCCGGCUGAAGUAUUUUUUUCACCCAUGUCUUUUGCGCACUUGUUGUUUCCUGGGCGGGUUCGCCCGCCACCAGGACCAAACCAUAAACCUUUUUUUCUUAUGCAGUUUCCAUCAGCGUCAGUAAAAACAAUGUAAUUAUUACAACUUUCAACAACGGAUCUCUUGGUUCUGGCAUCGAUGAAGAACGCAGCGAAAUGCGAUACGUAGUGUGAAUUGCAGAAUUCAGUGAAUCAUCGAAUCUUUGAACGCACAUUGCGCCCUUUGGUAUUCCAAAGGGCAUGCCUGUUCGAGCGUCAUUUGUACCUUCAAGCUUUGCUUGGUGUUGGGCGUUUUUUUGUCUCCCUCUUUCUGGGAGACUCGCCUUAAAACGAUUGGCAGCCGGCCUACUGGUUUCGGAGCGCAGCACAUUUUUUGCGCUUUGUAUCAGGAGAAAAGGACGGUACUCCAUCAAGACUCUACAUUUUUCACUUUUGACCUCGGAUCAGGUAGGGAUACCCGCUGAACUUAA